GGCCUAACACAUGCAAGUCGAGCGGUAGCACAGAGAGCUUGCUCUCGGGUGACGAGCGGCGGACGGGUGAGUAAUGUCUGGGAAACUGCCUGAUGGAGGGGGAUAACUACUGGAAACGGUAGCUAAUACCGCAUAACGUCGCAAGACCAAAGUGGGGGACCUUCGGGCCUCAUGCCAUCAGAUGUGCCCAGAUGGGAUUAGCUGGUAGGUGGGGUAACGGCUCACCUAGGCGACGAUCCCUAGCUGGUCUGAGAGGAUGACCAGCCACACUGGAACUGAGACACGGUCCAGACUCCUACGGGAGGCAGCAGUGGGGAAUAUUGCACAAUGGGCGCAAGCCUGAUGCAGCCAUGCCGCGUGUGUGAAGAAGGCCUUCGGGUUGUAAAGCACUUUCAGCGGGGAGGAAGGCGGUGAGGUUAAUAACCUCAUCGAUUGACGUUACCCGCAGAAGAAGCACCGGCUAACUCCGUGCCAGCAGCCGCGGUAAUACGGAGGGUGCAAGCGUUAAUCGGAAUUACUGGGCGUAAAGCGCACGCAGGCGGUCUGUCAAGUCGGAUGUGAAAUCCCCGGGCUCAACCUGGGAACUGCAUUCGAAACUGGCAGGCUAGAGUCUUGUAGAGGGGGGUAGAAUUCCAGGUGUAGCGGUGAAAUGCGUAGAGAUCUGGAGGAAUACCGGUGGCGAAGGCGGCCCCCUGGACAAAGACUGACGCUCAGGUGCGAAAGCGUGGGGAGCAAACAGGAUUAGAUACCCUGGUAGUCCACGCUGUAAACGAUGUCGAUUUGGAGGUUGUGCCCUUGAGGCGUGGCUUCCGGAGCUAACGCGUUAAAUCGACCGCCUGGGGAGUACGGCCGCAAGGUUAAAACUCAAAUGAAUUGACGGGGGCCCGCACAAGCGGUGGAGCAUGUGGUUUAAUUCGAUGCAACGCGAAGAACCUUACCUGGUCUUGACAUCCACAGAACUUUCCAGAGAUGGAUUGGUGCCUUCGGGAACUGUGAGACAGGUGCUGCAUGGCUGUCGUCAGCUCGUGUUGUGAAAUGUUGGGUUAAGUCCCGCAACGAGCGCAACCCUUAUCCUUUGUUGCCAGCGGUCCGGCCGGGAACUCAAAGGAGACUGCCAGUGAUAAACUGGAGGAAGGUGGGGAUGACGUCAAGUCAUCAUGGCCCUUACGACCAGGGCUACACACGUGCUACAAUGGCAUAUACAAAGAGAAGCGACCUCGCGAGAGCAAGCGGACCUCAUAAAGUAUGUCGUAGUCCGGAUUGGAGUCUGCAACUCGACUCCAUGAAGUCGGAAUCGCUAGUAAUCGUAGAUCAGAAUGCUACGGUGAAUACGUUCCCGGGCCUUGUACACACCGCCCGUCACACCAUGGGAGUGGGUUGCAAAAGAAGUAGGUA
rnacentral:rRNA from 1 species